CCCAGCCUGGGCUCACUCAAGCCUGAACUCCCAGAAACCCAGCGGGUUCUGCCAUAAUUCUGGGGUGACUCUAUCCUCCUGCCCCUCCCCACCGACCCUCACUAUGAGGCCUCCGCCAAGGAAACUGCAAAACCAAGGGCCUUCUGCAGUCACAUGCGCGGGUCUCGAUGCAGGAUCAUCUGGGAAGCCUCCCUCUCCAGGCGGCCCCUCCUCUGUGGCACCCUUGGCCGUCCAUAGCUCAUUCCCGUUGGAGACGUACUCGUGUGUUCAAGUCCCUGCUGGGUAGUGAAUGUGAGGCAAGGGGCUGGUAGCAUAAGCGGCAUGGGGCGGCUCUCCCAAAUCCCCUCAUGCCGGUCUGGCUACUCCCACCCGCAUAACAAUUCUUGACACUUGGACUCUUCUUGAAAAGUUAUAUUUGUAAAAUAACGUUAGUGCCUUUUGCUGAGCUUCCUUACUCAUCUUCAGACUUCCUCCCAGGUCGCCCCAUUACUACUAAACCUCAAUCCUGUCCCUCAACCAGUUCUCGUAGCUCCUUUCUCCCAGCACUAAACCAACUUCCAACACAAUAAAUCAUUUAUUAUCCUUCUA